AUUAACGCUAGCGGCAGGCAUAAUACAUGCAAGUUGAACGGCAGCACAGGUAGCAAUACUGGGUGGCGAGUGGCGCACGGGUGCGUAACACGUAUGUAACCUACCCUAUACAGGCGAAUAACCUUUAGAAAUGAGGGCUAAUACGCCGUAGUAUUACAGAUAGGCAUCUAUUUGUAAUUAAAGAUUUAUCGGUAUAGGAUGGGCAUGCGUCCCAUUAGUUAGUUGGUAAGGUAACGGCUUACCAAGACGAUGAUGGGUAGGGG
rnacentral:rRNA from 1 species